GCCUGUGUAACUCAGUUGGUAUAGCAUUGGAGUUUUCAUCUAAGUGUCCAGGGGUCAAGUCCCUGUUCAGGCA
rnacentral:tRNA from 1 species